UCUAAUAUGGCAGAAUUUAGUGCAGUGGAUUUAAGCUCCACGUAUAAAGUUUUAUACUUUUUUUAGAA
rnacentral:tRNA from 1 species